UCUUUUCUAACAGGAAUUAAACGGUGGUAUUACUUGCCAAUUCAAAAGGUUGGUAAUUAACUAAUUACCAGAACCGCCAAUCAGAGAACUCACCGGCUGACUCAAAUCGUCGAUUGUCAAAACCCUACUAAGAUCCCCAAAUCAUAAACCCUAGCAAUCUCGCCAAACUCAGUUUCAUUUAAUUCCAACAAUACAAAGCUAUUCGAAACCAGAAAUCCUAACACAGUAUCAUCCCUGAAAAGCUUCGCGAAGAUGGGAAAAGAAACAGCACUGUAAAGAUCGAAUGUUCAUGACGAAGACGGACUGGGGCGACGGCGCUUAGUCUAAAGAAAAUGGGACAAUUUUCAAACGCCGUUUGUAGGAAUUUAUGAUUCAAGGUGGUGAUUCAGCUGUUACUGGGAGAGGAAGUGAAUCCAUGUGGUUAAAGUCUUUUGAAAAUGGACUUUAAGUUGUUCACUCAGGAAAAGUGUUGUUAGUAUGUAAACAGUGACCUUCACACAAAUGACUCCCGGUCUUUCAUCCUCUACAACUCUGCAAAUCAUAUAAACAUCAAACGUGCAGUUUCUGAUGAUGUUCAUAGUAUCAGCUAUGGAGAAGGUUCCUGUCGAUGAGAAUGAUCAACCUCUGGAGGAGAUUAAAAUAAUUAGUCACAAUAUUUGUGAUUCCACACAUGGAACCCAAUAAAGAGGAAGAGGAAGAGGGAGCGGGAGAGGCAGAGAAGGGAAAAGGUGAGAAUACCGCUGAGGAUGAAGAUAAUGAUAAGGUUGGGCCUUGAUAUAGCAAUCCAGGUACUGGAACAGUAGAAUCUGAAGCCGUGGUUGGGAUUGUUAAGUAUUUAAAAGGCUAGGAGUAGCGGAGUGAGACAGUAUCAGCAGUUUCUAUAACAAUAAGAGGGAAAGUUACAGGUGGAGAACUUAAAACAAUUGUCUUCUUGGUGUUUUUCAAUAAUGCUUAACUCCUGUUUUAAAUGAUGGAGAUUGUGCUUUGGAGUGAGAGAUUCAAUGGAAGAACUCAGAUUUCAUUUUUCUGUCAGUAAGAACCAUGCUUAUAUACAAUGGAUAUGCUGGUAGAGGUAGUGUAAAUCAGCAUUGUGAAAUAAGGCGGUAAAAAGAAGAGGAAGGAAAAAUCAGCAUCCUUCCUUUCACUUGUAUCUUUGGUCGUAUAAAUGAAGUUGUAAUGAAUAUGGAUCAGAUUUUUUUUUCCUUUCAGUUCUCAUAAGAUAACACUUUUAUUCCCUGUUAUUCAAUUAUAAGAAACUGAUUUCGUCUAAA